AAGAGAUUCAGAAAAGGGUACUAUAGUUAAUGAAUUAAGCUCAGUUCAUGAAGGAAAAUAACAUGGUUCCAUUGCAAACUCAUCAUUGUCCCAUUCCAGAGAAUGAGAGAGAGGAAAUUGACCAACUCCCAAUUUGCAAGCUUUCAAGUUCCCACUAGCAAAAAGCUGCAUUUACAGAUCUAUCAUUGAAGCAAAAUUCCCUCCAUUAUCUUCCCCACAGAAACCAACCCUCUCUUUUUAACUCUUUCAGCCAAAAACAUCGUCUUCAUGUAAACCCCACAGUUACAAAAGAGAAGGAAAAAAAAAAGACCUCUAUAAGGAUCUAAGAAAAUCUAUGUACCAGCAACCAAAAGACAAAAAAAGAAAGAUUAAUUAAGACAAAGAGACAAUUACAAAAAGGCUAAAUAUGGCAGCCGCAACAUAGAUAGAAGAAGCACAAGGUAGCCACCAAGACAAUAGCCUCAAAAACAGACACAAUCUUGAAAAGCACAUCAUCAACAAAAGACAGCUGAAAGUGUUUUCUUUUCCACUUGAAAGCAGAGCCCAAGAACCUCCAUCUCCAUCUCCAAGACUCCUUGACCUUCAGCUUCCUAAAAAGCCACAUCUUCAUCUUCCUCCUGCUGCUGAUGUUGCUGCUGCCGCUCUUUUCCACGUCCUCUUGCAUAUUUUUAUCAAGCAUUCACUCACAAGAAUUCUCUGCAAAACAAAGACUCGCUUGCUUCUGGUGUCUAGAGGAAGAACACAGGGUUUGGUAGUUAUAUGGGGGAGGGAAGGUUCGGUUUUUUUUUCUUAAUAAAAACGAAGGCAAGAGAGGAGUGGGAUUUGUUGGGCUUAUUGAUGGUGUUUCGGUAAUUUAAUUAUACAGAAAGCUGAAAGCGU
rnacentral:misc_RNA from 1 species